UUAAAGUCUAACCUGCCCACUGAAAAUUUUUAAAUGGCCGCAGUAUUUUAACUGUGCAAAGGUAGCAUAAUCAUUAGUCUUUUAAUUGAAGGCUGGAAUGAAUGGUUGGACGAAAUAUUAACUGUUUCAUUUAAAUUUUUUAUAGAAUUUUAUUUUUUAGUCAAAAAGCUAAAAUUUAUUUAAAAGACGAGAAGACCCUAUAAAUCUUUAUAUUUUAUUUAUUUUAAUUAUAAAGAUUAUUUUUAUUAUUAUAAAUUAAAAUAUUUUAUUGGGGUGAUAUUAAAAUUUAAAAAACUUUUAAUGAUUAAAAUCAUUAAUGUAUGAAUAUUUGAUCCAUUAAUAAUGAUUAAAAAUUUAAGUUACUUUAGGGAUAACAGCGUAAUUUUUUUGGAGAGUUCAUAUCGAUAAAAAAGAUUGCGACCUCGAUGUUGGAUUAAGAUAUAAUUUUGGGUGUAGCCGUUCAAAUUUUAAGUCUGUUCGACUUUUAAAUUCUUACAUGAUCUGAGUUCAAACCGGCGUAAGCCAGGUUGGUUUCUAUCUUUAAAAAUAUAUAAUAUUUUAGUACGAAAGGACCAAAUAUUAAAAUAAUUUUAUUUUUAUUUAGAAUAAUAUUAAUUAAU
rnacentral:rRNA from 1 species